UUAAAAACCCAAUUGCGACUUGAUGAAAUUAGACCAAACUUUCCAGAUCAGUCCUAUAAUUAAUUAUCAAAAUUCCGGAAGUCUCAAAAUCAAAUUUCGAUCUCUAGAACUAAAAAUGGACCUUUGGAUCAUUACAUGCUUAUGCUCAAAAUGACAAAAAUCUUCCAAAAACUCUUCCAAAACUUAUCCUAGCCUCAUGGGACCCCAACCAAACAUGCCAACAUAAUUCAUAACAUCAUUCAAACCUGUUCCAAUCAUCAAAACACCUCAAACAACAUCAAAUUACCCAAAACUCAUCGAAUCCAAGCCUAAGUUUCAAAAAAAUUCCGAAAUACACUUUCGAUCAAAAACCCGACCAAACAAUGUCCGAAUAACCUGAAAUUUUGCACACAGAUCAUAAAUGACAUAACGAAGCUACAACAACUAUCGAAAUUCCAUUCUGACCCUCGAAUCAAAAUCUCACCUAUCAACCGGAAUUCGCAAAGUACUAACUUUGCCAAUUCAAGCCAAAUCCUUCCACAGGCUUCCAAAAUGCAUUCCGAUCGCGCUUCUAAGUCAUAAAUCAUCCAACGAAACUAUCCAAAUCAUAAAAUUUCCGAUCCGAGCUCAUAUAGAAAUAAGUCAAUUCUUAGUCAACCUUUCAAAUUCAAAGCUGCCNNNNNNNNNNNNNUUCAAAGCUUUCAACUGAGACUGUUCCUUCAAAUUCAUUCCGAUUUUUCCUGAAAACCAAAACCAACGAUCUACAUCAGUCAUAAUACGUUACACGAGGCAAGUCAUGCCCGAGAACUGGCGAUCAAAGUAUAAAAACUCAAAAUGAUCGGUCGGGUCGUUACAAGAUGAUAGCAAUCUAAAAAGUAAUAUCACAAAACCACAAGAACAAUAUCUAUCAGAAUAUCACCAUAACAAAACAAAUAAUGACUAAACAAUUAAAGCAUACCUGAGUUUUCCCAGAAUGAUACCAUUUUCAUACCUAUAAAAAGCGAUAUCAUAUACAUACCUAUCCAGUAUAAAACCUUUUAGUAGUGAGCAAGCACAUGUCCAACGGAAAGAAAAAGGAUAAAAAAAUACAAGCUAAUCAGGGAACAUAUUUUUUUUCCUAGAACGAAUCUUUUAACUGAAAACAAAAAAAAAGAAUGUUGAAUUAUAUCAUUCUUAGUAACGAUAUUGUCCAGAGAGGAAAAUACGAGGAGCAUCAACUUCAUCAAGAGAAAAUCCAUCAAGAUUUAAUUUCUUGCACAAGUCCUGUAGCUUUUAGUCAUAGAUAUGAUAUUUAUUUAAGCUAAAGAAGCCUCGUAAGGUUGUGAAAAAAGAAUAUUAUGGAGACUCAGUUUUUUGGUUAUAGGGGAAGCCAAAAAUUCACAUUGGUAAAAACUUACCCGCACCGGGUAUUUAUACCAAACCAAUAGAUACAUGACAUGUGUCUUGCAUAUGGACUUCAAUCAUUUAACUAGUAAAUUAUAUGCAUUCUCAUCUAAUUAAAUUAAUUAACUAUAGUAAGCUAAUAUAGUUUGGUGUAAACACCCGGUGUGGAUAAGUAUUUGCCAUUCACAUCCUAGUUUGGAUGACUUUUGAUUUUUUCAUUCUUACCACCCAUCCCCCUUCAAUAUACAAACAUCACAUAAUGCAGACAAGAGACUUGAAGUUUCUUUUGUAAAAAAUCAAAACCUCACAUAUCUCCAUUCUCUUCCAGAGAAGCAUUUUCAACUCUUUCACUAGGGUCAUUGAUGGUCGGAUCUACUAGUCUCACUCCUGUAUAAACUCCCUAAAUUGAACACACUUCAAUAUUAUAUCUUGAGUUGGUUUAUCUAUAACCAUUAGGCAUAGAAGAAAUUGAACGUAGACUAAUUUAACAAAAAUUUAUGACUAACCUCAUUGGAACUGAAAAUAUUAAGGGGGAAAAAGCACGGCCAGCUCCUAAAUAAUCCUUCAAGUGCAGCUAGGGAUUUUUGUUUUACAACUUCAAAUCUAUAAAUAUAUAGAGUAUAACAACAAAAAUCCGUACCAAAAUUAUGUACAGAUCUUAAAAUAAAAGCAUUGAGACACCCAAAAAGUAUUAGUAACGAGAAAUUAAAAGAAAUGGGUCUGACAAGAUAAACACACAAGCGAUGGAAGUGGAGUGAACCACUUCAAUAAAGGAAAUGAAGGGGCAGAAAGUCGAUGGAGGCAGCUUCAGUGGGUGUCGCGGUCGACUCAGUGCAAGACCAUCUCAGUUUCUUUCAAUGCCUUAUCUCAGUUUUUUGAAUGGUGGACUUGGUCGCUGCUAGCCGACCGAGGGGUCGAUAGUGAAGUAGGGUAACAACAACGGAGGUGGCCUUGAAGCAAUAUACAUGGUGGAUGCUAUGAUGUAUGAUUGAGAAAUUUUCAUUAGGGAAAUAUUUUAGCGGUCAGAAUUGAGGGGAAAUUUUGCGUUGCCUCUUCAGAACUAGGGGGAAAUUUUCAGUAGAA
rnacentral:lncRNA from 1 species